rnacentral:lncRNA from 1 species
AAUGAACCAGUAAUUUCGGAGUGAUCAUCUUUUCUCUUCCUUAGCUCACAGAUAUUUGCUGCUAUCUGUUUUACGCUUUCACAAUAACUUCCAUUUGCAUCACUCUUUACAUGACUACAUCUGAGAGAAGUGUACGCUUUCUUUAGCUUGCCCAUGGUGAUGUGAAGAUGAGAAGAAAUAGCAAGGCCCAACCAGUUCUUCAUCUGGAGACAGUUCAACGUUCUGCAAACCAGAUCUUCAGGAAUUUUACUGGGAUAAUUAUCCAAAUAAAUUGCAAGCAUUCUAUCCAAAUGGAGCUCUUUCUGAGAUGAAGAGAAUUCUCAAUGUCAAGAUUUGAACAAGAAGAGAAUGGAAUACACAAUAUGGACAUCCAUAAAAAUUCAUCAGAGAGCAUUUUACUACUGAGCUGCAAAGGGAAAAACUUAAAAUGGAUAUGAAAAGUGAAGAAAGUGAUCAUAGGAGAAAACCAUUUCAGGUAAAAAUAAAAAACAAAGAGCAAAUAAGAUUUACUGUUUUUAAAGAAAAACAACAUUCUUUUGACUGUGUUUUGUUAUAAGAAUUAAUUUCAUAUUCUUUAUGAGUGUAACUGUUGAAAUUUUAUUGAUGGUUUUCAUUUGAAAAUGUGUGCUAUGACCUACCUUUGUGAAAAAUUUCUUGUGGUCAAUUGGGCAGUUUGUGUCCCAUUGAAUAUAUGUCUGUGUAUCCAUACGCUUAAGAUAGGUGCAAUACGGUUUACUAGAAAGCUUUAUAGGAAAA